rnacentral:rRNA from 1 species
UACGUAGGGGGCAAGCGUUGUCCGGAUUUAUUGGGCGUAAAGAGCUCGUAGGCGGUCUGUCGCGUCGGCUGUGAAAUCCCGAGGCUCAACCUCGGGUCUGCAGUCGAUACGGGCAGACUAGAGUAUUGCAGGGGAGACUGGAAUUCCUGGUGUAGCGGUGAAAUGCGCAGAUAUCAGGAAGAACACCGGUGGCGAAGGCGGGUCUCUGGGCAAUAACUGACGCUGAGGAGCGAAAGCGUGGGGAGCGAACAGG